rnacentral:rRNA from 1 species
UACGUAGGGUGCGAGCGUUGUCCGGAAUUACUGGGCGUAAAGAGCUCGUAGGUGGUUUGUCGCGUUGUCCGUGAAAACUCACAACUCAAUUGUGGGCGUGCGGGCGAUACGGCAGACUGGAGUACUGCAGGGGAGACUGGAAUUCCUGGUGUAGCGGUGAAAUGCGCAGAUAUCAGGAGGAACACCGAUGGCGAAGGCAGGUCUCUGGGCAUUAACUGACGCUGAGGAGCGAAAGCAUGGGGAGCGAACAGG